UCUGACCUCAAAUCAGGUAGGACUACCCGCUGAACUUAAGCAUAUCAAUAAGCGGAGGAAAAGAAACUAACAAGGAUUCCCCUAGUAACGGCGAGUGAACCGGGAAGAGCUCAAAUUUGAAAUCUGGCGUCCUCAGGGCGUCCGAGUUGUAAUCUAUAGAGGCGUUUUCCGUGCCGGACCGUGUCCAAGUUCCUUGGAACAGGAUAUCAAAGAGGGUGACAAUCCCGUACUUGACACGAUGACCGGUGCUCUGUGAUACGUCUUCUACGAGUCGAGUUGUUUGGGAAUGCAGCUCAAAAUGGGUGGUGAGUUCCAUCUAAAGCUAAAUAUUGGCGAGAGACCGAUAGCGAACAAGUACCGUGAGGGAAAGAUGAAAAGCACUUUGGAAAGAGAGUUAAACAGUACGUGAAAUUGUUGAAAGGGAAACGAUUGAAGUCAGUCGUGACUGAGAGGCUCAGCCGGUUCUGCCGGUGUAUUCCCCUCAGUCGGGUCAACAUCAGUUUUGUCCGGUGGAAAAGGGCGGUAGGAACGUGGCACCUCCGGGUGUGUUAUAGCCUGCCGUCGCAUACAUCGGGUGAGACUGAGGAAUGCAGCUCGCCUUUAUGGCCGGGGUUCGCCCACGUCCGAGCUUAGGAUGUUGACAUAAUGGCUUUAAACGACCCGUCUUGAAACACGGACC
rnacentral:rRNA from 1 species